GUUAGUAAUAGAAAACUUAGGAAUAUUUUCUUUACUAUAAGAAAAUAAAAAACACAACCAUGUGAGCAUGCAUAGAAUGAAACUUAAGCUUCUUUUUUUUUUUUAACUCAAUCAAAGUUUAUCAAGAGGAAUUGAGCUCAAAGCAUUAGUAGGAAAAAAGGCUUUCUAUCAAAGUUUGUUCACAGAAAAGUGGAGGAUAUAAUAAAUAACUGCAUGCUAUUUUAUCAUUAUUUGCUGAUUUCAGUAGAUCUACUAGUCCCCUAUGGACACUACUCUAACUAAUGCUUUAUAGAUGGGGCUUUCUUUUGAAUGUAAAGAUUUCUGAUGCACUGCCAUUACCACAGUUAUUAAAAAUUUGCUUCUAGUGUAUUCUUUCUUCAAUUCUCUUGUUAUAUCUAAAGGCUGAAACGCUAUGGAAAUGUCCCAUUAAUUUUGAUUAUAUGCUUAUAGUAAGUGUGAUUUAACUGGGAAGUAGUUAUCAAAUUAAUCUCCUGGGCAUCAACCUCCAGCCAUGCAUAAUAUAAGCAAGUUUAAGACUAUUCGGUGUUUUAGUGAAGGAGUAGAUCGGUCAGUUUGUUAUUGUUAUGAAACUGGUACUGUUGCCAACAUAGUGUAACACAAACUGGUGGAAUGGAAAUGGAAAAUAAACUAGCCCUUGGAGCCUGUAUGAUUACAUUUAACUGGGUGCAUUGGUCGACCAGUUACGGUAAGUGAGUGAGUCACUCCAUUUUGGUUUGAUGUAGUUUACUAGCUAUGAUGUAAUUGAACCUACCAAAACUCUUCCAGUUGCAGUAACUUGUCCAUGACCCCAAUGUUGCAAGAACCAGUUAUUUGUGCAGCUAAACAGCUUUAUAUAGCUGCAGUUGCUGUGAUAAUGCUAUACAGGAUUCUUGCUACAUGCUAAUGGUAUUUAACUGUAACAAAAACCAGCGAUUGAUGAAACUCUCAUGAUCUAUUUACUGUUUAGCUCUUAUUUUCUAUCAUGUCGGGCUGCAAACAACCCUGUUUCGAGACCUUAGGCUCUGAAAUGCUUGGUCAAACUAGAUUUUGUCAUUUUUUAGAAACUUUGAUGUCAUGCCCCCGACCUUAGUAUUAUAUUUCGAGGGCAUGAGGCAUUUCACCUGUCAUUGAAUCAAUAUAACCUGAAAAUCAUAUACUUCAUAUAUAGGCAAUAGUAAUUAUUAGAAUCAGUAAACUACUAAAUUGACAUAUCACAUCAAGUCAAACAUACCAUCCUAAGUCAUAGCCAAGAAUUUGUUUCCAAAAUUAUAACUCAACUUUCAGUAACUAAGUAUGUAUACAUAACUUUGAGCUGCACUUUAAUAUACACUACUCAUCAAAACCAAACAUACUGACUAGCAAGGCGGCCUUGCCUCUAAUAACACUUUCUUAAAAUGCUGAUACUUGCCCAAGUCUCGGUCUGUAGAUCUGAAAGAUAUAAGUGAAGAUUAUAAGCUUCACAACUUAGUAGCUAAUCCACUAAUGAUGUUCACAUAAUGAAUCGAUACAUGGAAUCAAAAUAAGAUAGAUUAACUAAGUCUCAUGAUCCUACCAUGAUCCGGGAGGAUCACCAGACUCAGUAUGGACUACUUUGACCACUACGAGUGUUCAGAAGAAUCACCAAACUCGAUGUAGAUUAUUUUAGUCACUACGAAUAUUCAAGAAGAUCCCUAAAUUUGAUCUGGAUCACUUUGGCCACUAUGAGUAUUUAACGAGAUCACUAAAUUUGAUCUAAAUCACUUUAGCUACUAUGAGUAUUUAAUAGGAUCAUUAAAGUCGAUGUGGAUCAGUUUGGCCACUACGAAUAUCCAAGAGGAUCACCAGCCCGAUGUAGACCACUUUGGCCAUUACGGAUAUCCAAGAGGAUCACCAAACUCGAUGUAGAUCAUUUUGGCCACUAUGAGUAUUUAGGAAGAUCACUAGAUUCGAUAUGGACCAUUUUGACCACUGCGAGUGGGGUUGAACAGGGUUCAGGAGCGAGAUCCGCCGCAUUGAGAAGCCAAGUCGCAUGUUAAACUUUUGAAAGCCAUAACUUGAUCAUACGAUGCCCAAUUGAGAUAAUCUUUUCUUUUGAAAUUAGGUAUCUUUUGAAGAUCUACAAGUAGUAGGUUGAAUUAGGAUGAAAUUAUAUCGUUUAGACUUCAAAACGGGCUGGUCAAAUUGAAAAUUUUCUUUUCGGGCAAUACUUUGACCAGGCAUAGAUCUCUAUUUGAGAAGAAUCAGGUACAGCGACAGAAGGCAGAGUCGAUGUGAAAGUCAAGAUCUAUCUUUCUAAGAAUUUUAGCUUUUUCUAGAAUAUUUCUAAUAUAGAUAUCUAUUUUAGAAAAAAAGUCCUACUAGGUUUAGAAAGAGGAAUCCGAUCUAAAUUAUGUUAGGGCGACCUCAUAUUAUAAAUAGAGGCUAUAUACCUCGUUGUUUUUAAUGAUUAGUGAAAGAAAAAAGGACUUAAGCCCUACUUUCGAAAUUUUUCUAUCCUCUUAUAGUUAUCUUCCGAGAGAUUCGAGUUGAGCAGGUUGAAGAAAAUCUUUCUUCUCCCCGAUCGGAUCAAGUUGGUGUCAGAGCCAUGCUCUUAUCUAGUGGAAUUCUAACUUGAUUUGAUCAGAUCAAGUUGGUAUUAGAGCUCUAAUCCUCAACAUCUAUGGGAGCCUUAGUGCAUGGUCCAGAUGCACAAGUAGUACAAGCAGUCAGAAGAAGGGCUAUCCGUGCUUCAAAGACAAAGACGAGUAUGGCUGUUAGGUUUUUCUUGAUGGAUGAUUAGACAAAGAGAUAUUUUAUACAACUAGAGGAGAAGAUUACCUAACUCAUCGAUAUCAUGUCUCGAUUAGUGACGCCUUCAACAUGAGCACCAGCAACUCUAUCUUUGAGGAAAACCAAGUGGUUCAGCUGCGAGGCAGGAAAGCAAGCAUUUUUCCAUCUUCAGUUUUUAUUUAGUAGGAGCUAAAUCUCCUAAACAAGAGGAGCUUUGAUCUAGAAGGAUCACCAGAAUUGAUUUGGACCACUUUGGCCACUACGAGUAUUCAAAAGAAUCACCAAACUCGAUAUGGAUCACUUUAGUCACUAAGAAAAUCACCAAACUCGAUCUGUAUCACUUUGGCCACUUUAAAUAUUUGUUGCCGAACGGAUGAGAAAAAUGUUCCAGCAAAAGAUUUUUCUUUUUCGUUCUCUUGUGUAUACUGUCUUGUAGGGGGAGGGGGGAAUCGGUCCUUGUUUUACUUCUUUAUUAUAAGCACUGUUUGUUCAUGGUCGCUUUUUCUAAAAAUACAUUAGUAGGUUCUCUAUUGAUUCUUAGUCAUUAACUUAUCAUAAUCAAAUUUUUAUUUUUAAUUUUUUUUUCUUUGACCUUAUUUUUUACCAUCAUCAUCGUUGUUUUGUUAUAUAGCUUUUACCUCACUUUAAUAAAAUUUUCGUGCUUUUUCAUGUUUUAUGUUGCAGGCUCUGUGUUAGACUAAAUAUGUAAAAUAUUAAUUUUUAAUUGGAUGUGUUUCCAAUUUGUGACGGUUUUUAUGACUCAAUGGCCUAUUAUAGUCUUGAAGGUUUGAAGGCUCUUCCUAUCAGGACCAUUGAGCUGAUUUUUUUGUUGACAGCUUGGUGCUGAUGUAUGUGUACAUGUUAAAGACGAUGGAACAAAGCGAAGGCUUGAUGCUUUGUGUUUCAUAUUUUUUCCUAUUAUGUAUCAUUGUAUACUGUUCUGCAUUACUGUAUAGGUUGCUUUAGAUUCGAGCACACUUUUCUUUCAGAAAUAUCCAUGAUGAAAAAGAGCUGCAAAAAUUACGAUGUCAAAUCAGAUGUCAGUUUUACAUCAUUGUUCAAAAAAUUGAUUCAUAGGCCAUCUAAUAGCCGGCAGUCAGGCUUUCAGGUCUGGGGUACUAUUCCUAUGGUAGCAUUAUCACUAUCUUACUAGUUCAUAGUGGUAGACUUGUCAAACAUCGUUGCUGCAUCCAACAUCUAUCUGAUUGCCACCAUGUUACUGAUUUCAAAUAUAUAGAAUACUAGGGGCUCCCCAACCUUUUGCAAUUAAUCCAUAGUAUGUUUAUCGAUACCAAUGAAUAUGAUUGAGGAAAGAAAAAAAAUAAAGUUAAAAUUAUAAACUGCAUCGCUAUUUUUCUUACUGCGAUCAGUUAGGUGUCAUUGAGUUUUAUUGUAGAAUAUGCAGUUUUAGCUUGGUUAGGUAAAUUCCCUACAUAUUUUUGUGCUUUGUAAACCAUAUGAAUACAACUUACAGACAUCACUAUACUCCGUGCAACUCUUUAACAUGAUACCUUCAGAGUGAAUUUGGAAAGGGCUCAGCAUGUGUUUGCCAAUUUUGUACCAGCAUGCUGACAAUAGAGACUGCUGUUCGACCUGGACUGCUGCUGGGCAUCAUCAAGAAUUUGUUUCAUCUAAAUAUUAACGUGGAAUUGGCUGAGUUUUACAACUACGAAUCAUUUGCCAAGGGUAAAUUCCACGUCAGCUGGAAUGGCGCAGCACUGGACGACUUCCAUACUCGGGCCCGGAUACACUGUUUGGAAAGCCUUCUUUAAGACAGCCAUAUAUACUCCGUCAAUGUACAGAACCGACAGCUGCCACAGUUCCCCCUUCACGACAGCUGCCCCAGUUCCCUGCUCUGUUCGAGCUUCUUCGCCCGUUUCCUGGAGAAACUACGUGGACCGACAGAUUACAGGUUUGUCGUCUGAUUGCGUGAUCUCCAAAUGAGCUCUGGAUCUUUCAUUUCUGAAGGGUGUUAGAUACGUCUAAAUUUCUCUGAGGUUCUUGAGUUAGUGUACCAACCAGGUGCCAGCAAUUAGCUUUAUCAACUUACCAUUGCAGUCAUACGGGAUUUGAAGAUGGAAACUAUAAUUUUAAGAUGGGAUAGUAGGGGUGCAAUCGAGCCUGAGCCAAGUACCAAGCUGCUUGGUCUCGGCCCAGGUUUUAAGUAAGUUGUUCGAGCUUGGCUUAGGCUAAACUUUGAGCUGAAUAUUUGAACAAUCUCCAUGUUCAGGCCCGGGACUCAAACGUGUCCGAGCUCAGCUCAGUUUCCCAGUGGAGCGGAGCUCAAACGAGCUGAUAACAUGAGCAGAUAGAAGAGUUGAUUAAUCUUAUCUUCUCGUUACUUCUGGAUGAUAAGAAGAGAGCGAUCGACAAGUAUACCAGGAAUAAGUCUAUUAAAUUCCUAAAUUUCCUGACAGAGUUAGCUGCUAAGGUCCGUAAUCCACGACUUCAGUCCUCUUUUCAGCGCAGGCAUCGAUACCAAGCACAAUAAUAUUGUACUCACAAAUGCACAGAACACAAGAACAUGUUGGCACUUCUUUAUUUCACAUUGUUUUCCGGGCAGACCUUUGUACAGCAGAGCAGCCAACCAAAUUCUCUAUGUAUCAGGAUAGCUAUCACCGAGGGAUUCAACAAAA